AAACAAGAUUGGAUUUGCACGUUCUAAUCUGACUCAAGUCAAAGUUCAGUGGUCUGAAAUCUAUUAUGGACUUUACAGUGGAGUCGUUCGUUGGGUCCUCGCUGGUGUGUUUUUCAGUGUCAGUGUCAUCUGUGCGGCAUGCCUUUGCAAACUACGAAAGAAUGUGAAGCCAAAAGAAGAGGA